rnacentral:rRNA from 1 species
GAUGAACGCUGGCGGCGUGCUUAACACAUGCAAGUCGAACGGACUGAGAAGAGCUUGCUCUUCGAGGUUAGUGGCGGACGGGUGAGUAACGCGUGGGUAACCUGCCCUAUGCAGGGGGACAACACCGGGAAACUGGUGCUAAUACCGCAUAACAUAUGAGGUUCGCAUGAACUUUUAUAUCAAAAGAUUUAUCGGCAUAGGAUGGACCCGCGUUGGAUUAGCUAGUUGGUGAGAUAACAGCCCACCAAGGCAACGAUCCAUAGCCGGCCUGAGAGGGUGAACGGCCACACUGGGACUGAGACACGGCCCAGACUCCUACGGGAGGCAG